rnacentral:rRNA from 1 species
UACGGGGGGAGCAAGCGUUUGUUCGGAUUUACUGGGCGUAAAGGGCGCGUAGGCGGUCAGCACAAGUCAGUUGUGAAAUCUCCGGGCUUAACUCGGAAAGGUCAACUGAUACUGUGCGACUAGAGUGCGGAAGGGGCAACUGGAAUUCUCGGUGUAGCGGUGAAAUGCGUAGAUAUCGAGAGGAACACCUGCGGCGAAGGCGGGUUGCUGGGCCGACACUGACGCUGAUGCGCGAAAGCCAGGGGAGCGAACGGG